rnacentral:misc_RNA from 1 species
AUUACAUGACAGAAAUGAGUUAAAACUAAAUGAUUUUAUAUGAAAAAGAGAUAAAUAUGUAAAUAUAAAUUGUUAUUAGUAUUUAUUGUGUAGUAAGUAUUUAAUAAAAUAGUUCAAAUAUAGUGGAAAUACUAGUAACAUUAAGAUAAUUCUUAUGCCUAUCAAAAAUACUACAUUUGUCUGGACUGAAUAACAAUAAAA